GACGAACGCUGGCGGCGUGCUUAACACAUGCAAGUCGAACGGAAAGGCCCUGCUUUUGUGGGUUGCUCGAGUGGCGAACGGGUGAGUAACACGUGAGUAACCUGCCCUUGACUUUGGGAUAACUUCAGGAAACUGGGGCUAAUACCGGAUAGGAUCUCCUGCUGCAUGGUGGGGGUUGGAAAGUUUCGGCGGUUGGGGAUGGACUCGAGGCUUAUCAGCUUGAUGGUGUGGUAGUGGCUUACCAAGGCUUUGACGGGUAGGCGGCCUGAGAGGGUUACCGGCCACAAUGGGACUGAGAUACGGACCAGAAUCCUACGGGAGGCAGCAGGGGGGAAUAUUGCGGAAUGGGGGGAAGCCUGAUGCAGAAACGCCGCGUGCGGGAUGACGGCCUUCGGGUUGUAAACCGAUUUGGACUGUGACGAAGAGUGAGUGACGGUAAUGGGUAAAGAAGCAACGGCUAACUACGUG
rnacentral:rRNA from 1 species